rnacentral:lncRNA from 10 species
GUUUUUAAAUGACAUGAUAGAUUUGCUCUGAAGUAUUCAGCAGAGAAACAAGGAAUCGAUUAAGGAAAUGUGACAAAAAUCCUGUUAAUGUUGAAUCUGUGUAAUGACUAUAUUCUACUUUGUGUUGGAAAUUUUUAUAAGUUUUUAAAAAAUGGUUAUAUUUUAAAGUCCCCAGGCAGACAGCUGAGAUUUGAAAUCCUCUUGAGAGCCCAAAGUUUUACUCCAUAGUUAUAGCAGAGUUUAAAAUAGAAAUACCACUGGGAAAGACAGUACGUAUUAGCAUUAUUAACUAAGAAAAGCAUGACCAAUAGCAGUAAUAAUAUUGAAUAAGUAUACUGUGUAAGAGGAGAAGUUGCAUUUCUGCAUAGGCCAAGAACUAGUAAGCUAAGGAUUAAAAGCAAGAAAGUCUGUAGUUUUAAGGAAUUGGAAAGGUUGAAGGAAAAAAUUGAAAAUCAAAUCUUGCUCUAUGAUAAAAAGAGUCUGGAUUGAAUAGGGUCUUAAAAUUAUCUUUCAGAAAAGAAAUAGCCAGGCGCGGUGGGCUCAUGCCUGUAAUCCCAGCACUUUGGGAGGCUGAAGUGGACAGAUUACUUGAGCCCAGCCUGGGCAACAUAGUGAAACUCCAUUUCUACAAAAAAUACAAAAAUUAGCAGGGUGUGAUGGCACACACCUGUAGUCCCAGCCACCCAGGAGGCUGAAAUGAGAGGAUCACUUGAGCCCUGGAGGCAGAAGUUGCAGUGAGCCAGGAUGGCACCACUGUACUCCAGCCUGGGUGACAGAGUGAGACCCUGUUUCAAAAUAAUAAUAAGAAGAACACAAGAAGGUUAAGUCUAGUCCCAAAGAAGAGAGAACACUGUCAAAGCUGGUUUCUGAAAACUGGUACCAAAAUCUACAUUUGUUUAUUUAGGCUACUAUAACAGAAUACCACAGGCUGGGUGGCUUAAACAACAGAUACUUACUUCUCACAGUUCUGGAGGCUAGAAGUCCAUGAGAAGGUGCUGGCAAAUGCAGUUUCUGGUGAGGGCUGUCUUCCCGACUUGUAGAUGACCACCUCCUUACUAUGUCCUCACAUGGCCUUUCCUCAGUGCAUGCAUGUGGAGAGAGGGACAGAGUGCAAGCUCUCUGGUGUCUCUUCUUAUAAGGACACCAAUUGUAUCAGAUCAGAGCCCCACCCUUAUGGCCUCAUUUAACCUUAAUUAUUUCCUUAGAGGCCCCAUCUCCAAAUACAGCUAUAGGCACAUGGGAGUUAAGGCUUCAUCAUACAGAUUUUAGGGGGACACAAACAUUGAGUCCAUAACACAAGCCCACAGAAAAUCUUAUCCUAGACCUCUUUCCCUGGCCCUUUAUGGCUUGGGCUCCGUAGAGGACAAAGUGAAUAAAACCAAAUUUUUUAUUGCUUCAAACAGUAUGAUUUCAUCUUGUAAGAUGUACUUUUUCUUUUCUAAGGCUGAAUUUGUUUGAUUUCUGGUGAACACCUAUCUUCUCUAUCCACCUUCAUUCAUUUAUUCAUCUGUUCAACACAUACAGUUGGACACCUACUCGGAUCAAAAGUCAGAGAUCUUAAGAGCACAGCCUCUAAGCCAGAUCAUCUGAGUUCAGAUUUCAGUUCUACCAUUAUUAGUUCAAUGAUAUUGGACAAGUUACUUAACCUGUCUAUGAUCAAAAGUCAGAGAUCUUAAAGAGCAUAGUCUCUGAGCCAGAUCAUCUGGGUUCAGAUUGCAGUUCUACCAUUAUUAGUUCAGUGACAUUGGGCAAGUUACAUAACCUGUCUAUGCUGCAGUUUUCUCAUGUGCAAAAUGGGGAUAAUAAUUAUGCCUACCUCAUAGCGUUAUUCUGAGAAGUAAAUGAGUUCAUAAUGUGAAGGCCUUAGACUAAUAACUGGUGCAUAUGAGUACUCUAUGAUCACUGUUAUUACUUCUUUUGAUAAAGGAAAUGAAAACACUCAGGACAAGUGUUGCCUUCAGGAAGGUCAUAUUCCAGUGAAGAGGAUGAGUGUGCAAACAAUGAUAAUGCCAUGCAGCAAAUGGUAUGAUAGAUGUAUGUGUGGAACUUAGGGGAGUAGUCAUGGAAGUCUUUGUAGAAGAGGUGGCAUUUGAGCAGUCUUGAAUGUUUUAGGCAAAUAAUCAGGGAAGGAAUACAGGAAUAAAGAACAAAUUACUGUUAUAACAAUGUGGAUCAAUAUCAAAGAUACUAUAUUGAAUAAAAGAAGCAAAGCCAGGCACAAGAGAAUACAUCCUGUGUAUGGAAUCACAGAAUGGGCAAAACUAAGCCAUGGUGGUUCCCUCUGGGGAGAGGGGAGAUAUUAACUGGGAAUGGCACGGGAAACAUUUUUGGGUGAGCAAAAUGUUCUGUAUCUUGAUCUGAGUGGUGCUCACAUGGCUGUAUAUGUAUGUAAAAUUUUGUUGAACUAUACACUUAAAAUUUCUGCACUUUAUUUAAGUUUUAUAUUUUAAAAAUGCACAAAACUGAUUCACCAAAUAUUUGAGGAGCGUCUCCAGCAUCAAAGACAGACCCAAAAACUGUAAGUCCCUUAAUGGCAGGAAUCUUUGUUCCAUCCACCUGGAAUAAUUGCUGGCACAUGAUGGGCCCUCGAUGCAUAGUGGUUAACUGAGUGAAUUAAAACAAAAACCAAAGAGAAUAAAGGACCUCAAAGAAAACAGAUACAUACAAAGCAAAAUCCCAGAAUGAUGACUGUACUCCCAGAAAGAAGAGAAAAUCAUACAUUUUUUGGAAAAUCGGAAUGCUAUUAAAUAAUGUUCAGUAAAUAAGAAAAAGUUUUUGAAAAUUAAAAAUAUGAAAGUUGAAAUAAAAAUUCAGUGGGAGGGCUGGGAGAUAAAAUGAAAUUUUCCCAAAAAUAAAACAGAAAGAUUAAGAAAUGGCAAAUUAGAAAAGUAAGAAUAAAGAGAAUAAGUUCAUAAAGUUCAAAGUCUAAUCGAUACCCAUUCCAGAGAUAGCAUGCAGAAAAAGCAGCAGAGUCAAAAUUAUCAAAGAGAUAAUGCAGUUACCAUAUGGCCCAGCAAUUUUACUCCACGUUCUAAACCUAAGAGAAUUGAAAACAUGCUCACACAAUAACUUACACACAAAUGUUUGUAGCAGCAGGUUGAACUUUCAUGAACUGAUGAAUGGAUAAAUAAAAUGUGGACUAUCCACUCAAUAGAAUAUUAUUUGGCAAUAAGAAGAAAUGAGGUACUGGUAAAUGCCACAGUGUAGAUGAACCUUAAAACAUGCCAAGUGAAAGAAGCCUCUCACAAAAGACUGCUGAAU